ACCUCAUAAAAGACCUGUGGCUUCGCGUGAACCCGGGGGGCGGAGCUUGCAGUGAGCCGAGAUCGCGCCACUGCACUCCAGCCUGGGUGACAGAGCAAGACUCCGUCUCAAAAAAAACCCCAAAAAACCUGUGGCUUCUGCCUUGUCUUCUGUCCCUGGGAUUACUCCCUCUGGGAGAAAGCAGGUGUCAUGUCAAGGGGACACCCAAACAGCUCUGUGGAGAGUUCAGUGCCAUGAGGAACUAAGAUCUCCUCCCACAGCCGUGCAGCCGUGUCGGGAACUUGAGGGUGAAUCCCCAAGCACAGUGAAAUCUUCGGAUGACAGCAGCCCCAGCAGCAUCUUGAUUGCCGCCUCGUGAGUGAUCCUAAAACAGAAACUUUCAGCUAAUUUGCCUCCUCAUUUCUGACCCACACAAACUGAGAUUCAAAAACGUGUUGCUUGUGUUAAGCCCUCAAGUUCUGGGGUAAUUUGUUACACAACAAUAGGAAGAAAAGGAGAAGUAUCACUCUUUUUGCUGCACAAAUGUGAAAACUCACAAUAAAGAGAAGGGAGAAAGAGUGCCUGAAGGAUCAAUGUCGUACCCACACCUCUGACUUCUCACAUUUACAAUUGGUAGCAAGGAGGAACAGCAGCUGCCUUCAUUUGUAGCAGCCCUUCUCUGCAAGAUGAACAGCGGUCUUUUUAUUCUGCCACACUGAUUGAUUUCCUAAAGGUCUUUUGGUGACAGUGUCUCCCGGAAGUACAGAAAAACCCCAAUAAUUGAUAUGGGAUUAUAUAAAUAAAAAUAAGAGAUUUUCACACCUGAAAAACGUUUCUCUGCAUUAUCACGUCUACCCCAAAUCUUUGGUGUGCAGCUCCAGAAUAGGGUAACCACAUACAGAAAGCAGUGAGCUUCUACAUGCCUGGAGAUGGAGAAGGAUGGGCUAUGCCGUGUCCUAUAAAGUUAACUUAAUUACUGCAGGCCAGAUU
rnacentral:lncRNA from 1 species